rnacentral:tRNA from 1 species
GGGGUUGUGGCUCAAUGGUAGAGUGCUCACCUAGCACAUGUGAGGCACUGGGUUCGAUCCUCAGCACCA